rnacentral:rRNA from 1 species
GUUAAAAAGCUCGUAGUUGGAUGUCUAGCUUUGCGCGGACGGCCCGCCUUCGGGUUGAGUGCUGGAAGCGCUAGCUUGUUUUCCGGUUUGUGUCCCUUCCCUUGACUGUGGCGGGGUUCACGAUCCGGAUCUGUUACUUUGAAGAAAUUCGGGUGUUCAAAGCAGGCUUAUGCCGUGAAGACUGCAGCAUGGAAUAACAACAUAGGGCUAUCGCGUCUCAUUUUGUUGGUUCUGGGAUCGUAGCAAUGAUUGAUACGGACCGUUGGGGGUGCUGCUAUUCCGCGGCCAGAGGUGAAAUUCUCAGAUUCCCGGAAGAGCAACUUAUGCGAAAGCGUUCACCAAGGAGGUCCUGUUUAAUCAAGAACGAAAGUUGGGGGAUCGAAGACGAUCAGAUACCGUCGUAGUCUCAACCAUAAACUAUGCCGACUAGGGAUUGGAGGACGUUGACUUAUCCGACUUCUUCAGCACCUUACGAGAAAUCAAAGUCUUUGGGUUCCGGGGGGAGUAUGGUCGCAAGGCUGAAACUUAAAGGAGUUGACGGAAGGACACCACCAGAAGUGGAACUUGCGGCUUAAUUUGACUCAACACGGGAAAACUUUCCAGGUCCAGACAUAGUGAGGAUUGACAGAU